rnacentral:lncRNA from 12 species
CCAGGAGCCUCAGGUGUUUGCAGCAGGACGUUCAGGUUGGACAACUAAUUUGUUUGCUUCCUCCAAGUGCAGGUGUGGGCAGGGAUCUCAUGCAUGUAAUUCUCCUCGUGACAUUACCGUGCCUCUGGACUUCCCAUAUGAUCCCCUGGGCAAGCAAGACCCACCUCCGUGCCGAUGAACGCCGGACUGGCUAACCAAACUCAUACCUAAGGUCAACUCAGUAUAUUCCUUUCGGGAGGUGCAAACUAUU